GACGAACGCUGGCGGCGUGCUUAACACAUGCAAGUCGAACGGUGAAGCGCCUUCCUUUUUGUCGGGCGUGGAUGGGUUGCGAACGGGUUAGUAACACGAUAGUAACCUGCCCCCUCCUUCUGGAUAACCUCAUGAAAGUUUGGCUAAUACGUGAUAUUCUGUGCCUGUCGCAUGAUGGGUUCUGGAAACAUUUUGUGUCUGUGUGGGCUGGGCUCGCGGCGUAUCAGCUUGUUGGUGGGGUGACGGCCUACCAAGGCUCUGACGAGUAGCCGGGAUGAGAGGGUGGACGGCAACACUGGGGAUGCGAGGCGGAGAAGACUACGACGGGAAGCAGUAGUGAGGAGUAGGCAACAGGGGGAGCAAUGAUGCAGCAGUGCCGCGGCGUGAGGGAUGGCGGCCUGCGGGUUGUGACCCUCUUUCGGGAGUGAAGCGCGCCUGCCUAGUUUGUGGGUGGGUUGACGGUAGCUGGAUAAGAAGCGCCGGCUAACUACGUG
rnacentral:rRNA from 1 species